UCUCUCUCGUGUCCAGUUUUUUUUUUUAUACAAAUUUGAAAUCAGCAACUCUCCUUCUUCAGUCAGUUCAGAGUUCACAUUCACAUCUUAAUUGAAAGAUUCAGUUCAGUUACUUGAAUUGCCGAGAGAUCUUUGAUCUUCUUAUUAACCCAUUUUGUUGGUGAAUGCAAGUGUGAUUUGCUAAGCAAAUGGGUUUACGUUGAAGUUGCAAUGGAAGAGGAGAAUUCUAUAGAGCUUAUACAAAGAUUUUGGAGAGACAGGCGGAUACUGUUGAAUUUCAUACUUUCAGGAAGCUUAAUCAAGAAGGUGGUAAUGCCCCCGGAGCUGUUUCCUUGGAUGAUGUGGAUCUUGAUCAAGUUAGCGUUGAUUUUGUCCUCAGUUUCUUGAAUUACCGAGAGAUCUUUUCAGUUUUCAACACCCUUUGAUCUUCUUAUUAACCCAUUUUGUUGGUGAAUGCAAGUGUGAUUUGCUAAGCAAAUGGGUUUACGUUGAAGUUGCAAUGGAAGAGUAAGUAAUCUUUAAAAUCCAGUGGGUUCUUUCCUUGUUUUGAUUAAGUUUACAAGACUAAUAGAUCUUGAAGUUGGUUUGAAGUAAAUCUUGAUGUUCUUAAGUAGUUAAGGUGAAAGAUUCUUGAUAUGUUAAGGAAAUUUGAUGGUAGAGAAUUUACGGGAACACAAUGUGGGUGGGUGGGUGGCUCCAAUUGAAUGUGUUGUCUGUGUUUGCAGGGAGAAAUUUAUGGAGCUUCUACAAAGAUUUCGGAGAGAUAGUUCUUCAUGAAAAGAUAUUUUUAUGGAGGCGGAUACUGUUGAGUUUCAUACUUUCAGGAAGCUUAAUCAAGAAGGUGGUAAUGCCCCCGGAGCUGUUUCCUUGGAUGAUGUGGAUCUUGAUCAAGUUAGCGUUGAUUUUGUCCUCAGUUUCUUGAAUUACCGAGAGAUCUUUUCAGUUUUCAACACCCUUUGAUCUUCUUAUUAACCCAUUUUGUUGGUGAAUGCAAGUGUGAUUUGCUAAGCAAAUGGGUUUACGUUGAAGUUGCAAUGGAAGAGUAAGUAAUCUUUAAAAUCCAGUGGGUUCUUUCCUUGUUUUGAUUAAGUUUACAAGACUAAUAGAUCUUGAAGUUGGUUUGAAGUAAAUCUUGAUGUUCUUAGGUAGUUAAGGUGAAAGAUUCUUGAUAUGUUUAGGAAAUUUGAUGGUAGAGAAUUUACAGGAACACAAUGUGGGUGGGUGGGUGGCGCCAAUUGAA